UACGAAGGGGGCUAGCGUUGCUCGGAUUUACUGGGCGUAAAGGGCGCGUAGGCGGACAGUUUAGUCAGAGGUGAAAGCCCAGGGCUCAACCUUGGAAUUGCCUUUGAUACUGGCUGUCUUGAGUACGGGAGAGGUGAGUGGAACUCCGAGUGUAGAGGUGAAAUUCGUAGAUAUUCGGAAGAACACCAGUGGCGAAGGCGACUCACUGGCCCGUUACUGACGCUGAGGCGCGAAAGCUAGGGGAGCAAACGGG
rnacentral:rRNA from 1 species